rnacentral:rRNA from 1 species
UACGUAGGGUGCAAGCGUUAAUCGGAAUUACUGGGCGUAAAGCGUGCGCAGGCGGCUUUGCAAGACAGAUGUGAAAUCCCCGGGCCCAACCUGGGAACUGCAUUUGUGACUGCAUGGCUAGAGUACGGUAGAGGGGGAUGGAAUUCCGCGUGUAGCAGUGAAAUGCGUAGAUAUGCGGAGGAACACCGAUGGCGAAGGCAGGUCUCUGGGCUGACACUGACGCUCAUGCACGAAAGCGUGGGGAGCAAACAGG